rnacentral:rRNA from 1 species
CACGCCGUAAACGUUGAGAACUAAGUGUUGGGGAGACCCAGUGCUGAAGCUAACGCAUUAAGUUCUCCGCCUGAGGAGUACGCACGCAAGUGUAAAACUUAAAGGAAUUGACGGGGGCCCGCACAGGCAGUGGAGCAUGUGGUUUAAUUCGAGGCUACGCGAAGAACCUUACCAGGGCUUGACAGGAAACUUAAGACCCUAGAGAUAGGGGGAUAAUAAGUGAAACAGGUGG